GCCUGGGUGGCUCAGUGGUUGAGCACCUGCCUUUGGCUCAGGGCAUGAUCCCAGAGUCUUGGGAUCGAGUCCCACAUCGGGCU
rnacentral:tRNA from 1 species